rnacentral:rRNA from 1 species
ACUGAAUAGAUACCCUGGUAGUCCCAGCCGUAAACGAUGCUCGCUAGGUGUCAGGCAUGGCGCGACCGUGUCUGGUGCCGCAGGGAAGCCGUGAAGCGAGCCACCUGGGAAGUACGGCCGCAAGGCUGAAACUUAAAGGAAUUGGCGGGGAGCACAACAACGGGUGGAGCCUGCGGUUUAAUUGGACUCAACGCCGGACAACUCACCGGGGGCGGACAGCAAUAUGUAGGCCAAGCUGAAGACUUUGCCUGAAUCGCUGAGAGGAGGUGCAUGGCCGUCGCCAGUUCGUACUGUGAAGCAUCCUGUU